CGUAGGGGGCAAGCGUUGUCCGGAUUUAUUGGGCGUAAAGAGCUCGUAGGCGGCUAUUCGCGUCGGAUGUGAAAGCUCAAGGCUCAACCUUGAGAGGCCAUUCGAUACGGGGUAGCUAGAGGUAGGCAGGGGAGAUCGGAAUUCCUGGUGUAGCGGUGAAAUGCGCAGAUAUCAGGAGGAACACCGAUGGCGAAGGCAGAUCUCUGGGCCUUACCUGACGCUGAGGAGCGAAAGCUGGGGGAGCGAACAGGAUUAGAUACCCUGGUAGUCCCAGCCGUAAACGUUGAGUGCUAGGUGUGGGGCGGUCUUCAACCCGCUCUGUGCCGCAGCUAACGCAUUAAGCACUCCGCCUGGGGAGUACGGUCGCAAGACUA
rnacentral:rRNA from 1 species